rnacentral:lncRNA from 1 species
CGUGUGAAUGUUUUUACAGAAUUUUGUGACACAAGCUCACAUGAAUAAUCAAUUCCUGUCAUUAUUAUUUUAUAAUUUUGAUAUGUGGAACAUGAAUAUAUGCCUGAGCCUAAAGGACAUUCCCUGGACUCUUUAUUCCAUCAACAUUAGUGCCUGGAACUCACUUCCAUAUGCAGCCUCUCCUCCUGUGUAGCUAACAAUGUCACCUCCAUGGGUAUCUCAGUGAGUAGGUAAACAACCAAAUCUAAAUGCUAUCUUAGCCUUUGAUGAGUCACAGACCCCUUGCAGUGUGUCAUUUGGGGUGGGGGGCAUGUCCUACGAAAAAUCUCAAAUGGUAUUUUAUUAGUUCAUUACCUUUAACCAGGCCAGGUAUGGGGGCAAGGGGGCUUGAUGAAGGGUUGUUGGGCCAAGCCAGGCCAGGGUUGGGCUCUUGUGGGGGCUAAUGCCCCUCAGUGGUGGAGGGGGACCAGGUCUUUGUCCCAGUGGAGGGGAUUACACCGGCGGGGCGGCCCUAACAAUGUCUCCCCUCCUGGGAGGGCUGGGCAAACCUGCUCCCCCCAAUGACGGGUGUGGUCAACUGCUCACUGACUCAGUUAAACACAGUGAGAGAGAGGAGGAGAAGAGAGGGAUAGGAGGAGGAGAUGAAUGGAGGGGAGAGAGAAGAAUGAGCAGCAUGGAGUGAUACUCAACAAGGGUAACAGGGUAACAGAGAAGGAGAAAGUGGAGAGGAGAGGAUGGAGGUUGGAGAAGAAGAGGGUGGAGGUUGGAGGAGGAGAGGGUGGAGGUUGGAGGAGGAGAGGAUGGAGGUUGGAGGGGGAACGAGUUAAGGUUGGAGGAGGAGAGGAUGGAGGUAGGAGGAGGAGAGGAUGGAGGUAGGAGGAGGAGAGGAUGGAGGUUGGAGGGAGAGCGAGUUAAGGUUGGAGGAGGAGAGGAUGGGGUAGGAGGAGGAGAGGAUGGAGGUUGGAGGAGGAGAGGAUGGAGGUUGGAGGAGGAGAGGAUUAAGGUAGGAGGAGGAGAGGAUGGAGGUAGGAGGGAGAGCGAGUUAAGGUUGGAGGAGGAGAGGAUGGAAGUUGGAGGAGGAGAGGAUGGAGGUUGGAGGAGGAGAGGAUGGAGGUUGGAGGAGGAGAGGAUGGAGGUUGGAGGGAGAGCGAGUUAAGGUUGGAGGAGGAGAGGAUGGAGGUUGGAGGAGGAGAGGAUGGAAGUUGGAGGAGGAGAGGAUGGAGGUUGGAGGAGGAGAGGGUGGAGGUUGGAGGAGGAGAGGAUGGAGGUUGGAGGAGGAGAGGUUGGCGGGAGGAGGAGGAGAGGAUGGAGGUUGGAGGAGGAGAGGAUGGAGGUUGGAGGUUGGAGGAGGAGAGGAUGGAGGUUGGAGGAGGAGAGGAUGGAGGUUGGAGGAGGAGAGGAUGGAGGUUGGAGGGAGAGCGAGUUAAGGUUGGAGGAGGAGAGGAUGGCGGUAGGAGGAGGAGAGGAUGGAGGUUGGAGGAGGAGAGGAUGGAGGUUGGAGGAGGAGAGGAUGGAGGUUGGAGGAGGAGAGGAUGGAGGUUGGAGGGAGAGCGAGUUAAGGUUGGAGGAGGAGAGGAUGGCGGUAGGAGGAGGAGAGGAUGGAGGUUGGAGGAGGAGAGGAUGGAGGUAGGAGGAGGAGAGGAUGGAGGUUGGAGGAGGAGAGGAUGGAGGUAGGAGGAGGAGAGGAUGGAGGUUCGAGGAGGAGAGGAUGGAAGUAGGAGGAGGAGAGGAUGGAGAUAGGAGGAGGAGAGGAUGGAGGUAGGAGGGGGAGAGGGUGGAGGUUGGAGGAGGAGAGGAUGGAAGUAGGAGGAGGAGAGGAUGGAGGUAGGAGGAGGAGAGGAUGGAGGUAGGAGGAGGAGAGGGUGGAGGUAGGAGGGGGAGAGGGUGGAGGUUGGAGGAGGAGAGUAUUAAGGUAGGAGGAGGAGAGGAUGGAGGUAGGAGGAAGAGAGGGUGAAAGGAUCAGGUGUGGUAGGAGGAGGAGAGGGUGAAAGGAUCAGGUGUGGUAGGAGGAGGAGAGGGUGAAAGGAUCAGGUGUGGUAGGAGGAGGAGAGGAUGAAAGGAUCAGGUGUGGUAGGAGGAGGAGAGGAUGAAAGGAUCAGGUGUGGUAGGAGGAGGAGAGGAUGAAAGGAUCAGGUGUGGUAGUAGGAGGAGAGGAUGAAAGGAUCAGGUGUGGUAGGAGGGAAAGGAGACCAGUGGCUCAAAGAACAAGAAGAUAAAUAAAGGAGUGAAGGAGAAGAGCGGAAUGGUGAGCUAGGUGAGGAUGACUCUGCAGGUACUGGAUGUAAAAUGUGUAAGUCUGAGGCCUUUCCUUAUGUACUUCAAUAUCAAAGUCCUCAUUAUGCCCACGCACACCGCCCAUUCAAAUCCAAUGACAAAUGCACCAGAUAAUUCCAUUAGGGGGGACUUCUAUAGAGGAUAUUUAGGGGACAGUAGAGAAAUCCAGGUAACAUAGCUCAACGCGGGCAAAGACAGAUAUGGCUCCGUAACACUUAUCAGGGAUUUGGCAGCCCUGUUGAUUGAACAUGCCAAGUCCCAUUUGUCGGAGGGGUGUGCACGUUUGUAUCGACACGCUGUAACCUUGUGGCUCCACAGAAGGAGACAUCAGAUGUGCUGCUAGCGGGCACACAGGCAGACAGGCAGGCAAGCAGGAGAGGGUGGGUGGGUUGGUAGGCUCCCCUCCUCUUCCCUUCUCUCUACUUCUCUCUCUCCUACUCUCUUCUCCUCUUCCGGCUGCAGUGGACAGGAGCCCCCCUCCUCCAUCCCCAGUGGACGGGAGCCCCCCUCCUCCCUCCAUCCCCAG